rnacentral:lncRNA from 1 species
CUUAAGUGUAAAAAUAAACAAGCAUUCCGUCAAUGGGGUCCCCGAUGCCUCGCUAUACUACAACACAUUUUUGAGUCAUAAAUCAUGGUCCUGACAGGUCUAUGAUGAUGCAUUGUGUUAAUACAUCAUAAUGACAAUGCUGAUGAUGUAUUAGUGCAAUAUAUCCUGAAAGCCUAUCACUUUAGAAAUCUGUGUUUAUAGAUAGCAAAGAAAAGAUUUGAGGGUAGCAAAAUUGAGAAAGAAACAGGCACGUGGAGGGCUCAGGAUGAUGAACAUCUCUUUUUGACAGAUGAAGAGCUUCUCCCUCCCAGGAGCCAACGCUGUCCCUCUCCCAGUGGUUGUGCCAUGGAGACAACUCCUGGAGACGUGUCCUCUACCAAAUUGAUGCCACGCGACCAGCUCUUGGCGGGGCUGGACUGGAUGCAGAUCUUCUGAGUCUCAGCCGCACACUUUCUCCAACACCUCUGAACUUUGAGAUGAAUGAAAAAUACUGUAUGUACAUGAAACAGAAGCUCUAUUCUAGGUUAGCCCAUGGAUCCAAAUGGUUUGAUCGUGUGUGCACAUGCACGUGGGUUUUGGAAACCUUUAGCAGUCAGUGGCCUUUGCUCCUUUGGCUUCUGAAAUGA